rnacentral:rRNA from 1 species
AUUGAACGCUGGCGGCAGGCCUAACACAUGCAAGUCGAGCGGAUGAAGGGAGCUUGCUCCUGGAUUCAGCGGCGGACGGGUGAGUAAUGCCUAGGAAUCUGCCUGGUAGUGGGGGAUAACGUCCGGAAACGGGCGCUAAUACCGCAUACGUCCUGAGGGAGCAAGUGGGGGAUCUUCGGACCUCACGCUAUCAGAUGAGCCUAGGGCGGAUUAGCUAGUUGGUGGGGUAAAGGCCUACCAAGGCGACGAUCCGUAACUGGUCUGAGAGGAUGAUCAGUCACACUGGAACUGAGACACGGUCCAGACUCCUACGGGAGGCAGCAGUGGGGAAUAUUGGACAAUAGGCGAAAGCCUGAUCCAGCCAUGCCGCGUGUGUGAAGAAGGUCUUCGGAUUGUAAAGCACUUUAAGUUGGGAGGAAGGGCAGUAAGUUAAUACCUUGCUGUUUUGACGUUACCAACAGAAUAAGCACCGGCUAACUUCGUG